ACCCGCCUUCGGGCGGGGAGUAGAGUGGCGAACGGGUGAGUAACGCGUGGGUGAUCUGCCCUUCAGAGGGGGAUAACCCGCCGAAAGGCGGGCUAAUACCGCAUGAGCCUGCAGGGUCGCAACUGCAGGGAAAAGCGAAAGUUGCUGAAGGAGGAGCCCGCGUCCGAUUAGCUAGUUGGAGAGGUAAGAGCUCCCCAAGGCGACGAUCGGUAGCCGGUCUGAGAGGACGGACGGCCACACUGGGACUGAGACACGGCCCAGACUCCUACGGGAGGCAGCAGUGGGGAAUUUUGGGCAAUGGGCGAAAGCCUGACCCAGCAACGCCGCGUGGAGGACGAAGAUCUUCGGGUCGUAAACUCCUGUCCGAAGGGACGAAGACAGUGACGGUACCUUUGGAGGAAGCCCCGGCUAACUCCGUGCCAGCAGCCGCGGUAAUACGGGGGGGGCAAGCGUUGUUCGGAAUUACUGGGCGUAAAGGGCGCGUAGGCGGUUUCGGUAGUCAUGGGUGAAAGCCCCCGGCUCAACCGGGGAAUGGCCUGUGAAACCACGGGACUGGAGUGCUGGAGAGGGAAGCGGAAUUCCCAGUGUAGCGGUGAAAUGCGUAGAUAUUGGGAGGAACA
rnacentral:rRNA from 1 species